UCAGGCAACUCAUUCAUUUCCUUUUUUUAUAUCACAGAACCCUUUUAUUUCCUUUACACAUAUCACACAGGUUCAAGAGAGAAACAGAAGAAAGAGAUGGAGAAGCACAGAGGUGAAGAGUUUGAUGCGUUGCCUUUCAAACCCUAGAUUUCUAAGGACUUUGAUCUUCUGUUCUCUUUGCUAGCCAUUACAUAACCCAUAAUCAUUCAACAAGCAGGCAUCGAUACAAUAUUUUUUUAAAAGCAAGCAUCGCUGGUGAAGAUGGCAGAUUCUGAAUUGCAUGACAUUAUUGUGCACUACAAGUUCACUGUGAAAGGAAUUUAUAAUGUUAACCCUGAUAGGUUCCUUGGCCCAAAAGGAGCAAAAAUAAGGUGUUGUGGAUUUUUGAUCAACAAUGUGCUCAAAAGCUGAAUUUCAGGCAGCAGUGGAACUCAAUUUUGAUUGCCACUUUUGACCCAGAAAGCUCAAGAUCUGGACUUCCAUUAUAAAAUGGCAUAUUUAGAGCUCUAAAUUAUCUUUCUAAAUCUUCAAACGGUUUGUCAUUCGGAGCUCGGAGCAGAGAGUUAUGGCCUUAUUACCAGAGAUGCGCAGAACUGCCUGGCAGCAAUGAAAUUCUGUCUUGAUCUUCAUUUUCGACCAACCAUCCUUGAGAAUUGGAUCUCCACUAAAACAUGAAGUAUUUAAAGCUCUGAAUUAGCUCUCCAAAUCUUCAAACAGUUUGUCAUUCGGAGUUCAGAGCGCAAAGUUAUGACCAUUUCAUCAAAGUAGGUCCGGGCGGGGCAAAUGGAGAAUAGGCAUUCUGCCCAAUUUUCGAGUGCUCGAGGCCCAAAUUUGAGCACUCGAAUUUAGGGCAGUUUGUCUCCGAAAAAUCACUAUUUCAGCCACUUGUUUCUUGGUUCCUUCAUUUUCUGAUUUCGUUCUUUAUGAGGUGGUUGGAGAUGUUCCUAGGGGGGAGGGAGAGAGCCUAGUUUGGUGGUAGAUAAGAGGGAUAAGAGCCACACAUCUCCUAAGCUAGUUUGGAUCAGAUUUUGGGGAGAGAAGAGGGCAAGGAGAUAGAGUUCUUCAAGCUUGAAGAAGGGAGCACGAAAAUGGAGGAGGUCUUCAAGCUUCUUCCUUCUUCCAUUGCUCCUAUGGGUAACUAAAUCUUCUCUAGGGAGGUGAUGAAGCCCCUCCCUUGUAAGCAUGUUGCUCAUUACACUAAUUUUGAGUGCUCGAGACCACCCUUCGAGUGCUCGAAAUUCUGGCAGAUUGCACUCGGAAAUGGCUCAAUUUCAGCCACUUGCACAUUGGUUUCCUCAAUGCCAUCUUCCUUCUUUAUGAAGUGGUUGGAGGUGUUCCUUGGAGGAGAGAGAGCCUUGACUUGAGCUUGAUAAGAGAGAGGGAGGACCACAUAGAUGUUAAGCUUCAUUUUACAAGAUAGAGGAGAGAGAAGAGAGCAAGGAAGAGGGUGUUCUUGAGUGCUACAGUAGGAGCUCGAAAAUGGAGAUGGAUCCUUCUUCUUCUUCUUCCAUUUUUGUAUCAAUGGAGAGCUAAACCUCCAUCUAGGGAGGUGAUGAAGCUCCUCCCUUGUAAGCAUGUGCUAGUGUAGAUUUUAUUUUGGGGAGAACAAUGUAUAGUUUUUGGUUAUUUUAUGAUCUAGAGCAUUAUAUUUGUUGUAAUGAACUUUAAUGUCUAUACAUAAUUAUUUUGAGUUA